GAAAAAGACAAGGAUUUUUAUUAUUGUCUGCCUCUAGUAAAGAUUCCUUGGAUGAGACUAGCUGUUCCCAGCAUGCCAUUAGAUAAGACCUCUAUGGGGCAAGAGAGGAAAGCCUUCCCAGAUGCCUGGACUUCAGAUGUUUUCCUUGUUUGAUGUUGAAAGCUGAGAAUUUCCCUGGCUCAUGACCCCUGGAAACAAAUGCUGGAUUAUCUGUUGCGCUGGAUUAUCUGUGCCUGGCCCCUGCAGCUGCAUAGAGAAUUGUGUGUUGCCUGCACAGACUGAAGCUCUCCAUCCAUCCUGCGUGCAUUUUGUACUCGCCUGUGUGUAAGGUUCUGUGCUGUUCACUCUUCACCAGAAAAACUCCUGCCUAUCCUGUAAAACCCAGCUCAGAGGUCCAGAAAAUGACCCUGCACAAAGCCUCUGCAGAGGAAGUCACAUCAAAUUCUGAAGAAUCUUCCAGACCAUGAUCUCUGACCACAAUGCAAUAUAAUUAGAACUCAACAAGAAAAACAUAAACCUCCCAUAGGCUGAGAAACUGAAAAACAUACUUUGAAAUCAUUCAAGAGUUAAAGAGGAAAUUACACUGAAAUUUAUGAACUAUUUAGAACUGAAUGAUAAGGAAAACACAAGCAGUUUCCAAAUCAUUUCCCCUAUGAAGUCAGCCCUGACCCCACAUGGCUCCUCAGAUGGCUCUCCACCCUCUACCCAUUUCUACGCCCUAGGAGGCUGACGUCUAUGGGCUGCAGCAACAGGUUCCCUUGUUCUUAGCUUCUGGGAGGAUUCAGCUAGUGGGGGAAACCUGGCCAGAGAUCAGACGGAGGGAGAGAGGGAGGAGAGUGAGGCCUCUUACUUGCCCCCUGUCCUUCCCUGUAUGAUUGCUGUGAGCUGGGUAUGCCCCUCCACCUUAGGCCACAGCAGCGCCCUCCUCAUAGCUCCCACUUUCACCAUUCCUUCCCCACACUCCUGCAGCCUGGGGUUGACAGCCUCUGCUCUUGUGAGCCCUUUGGUGAUACACUGUGUGGUUUCCCUACACCUUGACCAUACCUGUAAAUAAUGUCUUCAUUAAACAUACCCAUUCUGGGUGUUCCAUGUGCUUCCUGCAAAUACCCCGACUCUUACAAAGUCCGUCAGUCCACAACCACAUUCUCACUUCUGGGUGACUGAGCUGUGACCUUGUGUAUCUCUGUGUGUUGUCCCCUUUACUGACCUGUCAGCACCUGAGGUCGGCAACCAGGUCAGCUUUAUCACCCAGUCCCCUGAUCUGAUAUGAGUGGAGAGUUAUACUCAAUAAAAGAUAUUGAUUAGGAUAUCAAAUAAAUAAAGAAGCAUAGUUUAAUUUGCUCCAUAAGCAAGUGUUUGUUUAUAGGGGAUUCAGGGCAGAGAGUUAAGAGUCAGACAUAAAAAUACAGAGAACUUUAGACUGGGGCAAAAAUUGGUGCUCAACAAAAGAACAUACCCACAGUUCUAUGAGCUGGGAUUCUUUCUUUACUUUUAUUUUAGGUUCAAGGGUACAUGUGUAGGUUUGUUAUAUAAGUAAACUCUGUGUCAUGGGGAUUUGGUGUACAGAUAAUUUCAUCACCGAGGUAAGCAGCAUAGUACCUGAUGGGUAUUUUUGUCUCAUCCUCCCUCCUCCCGCCCUCCACUCCCAAGCAGGCCCCAGUGUCUGCUGUUCCCCUCCUAGUAUCUAUGUAUUCUCAUUGUUUAGCUCCUACUUGUAAGUGAGAAUAUGCAGUAUUUGGUUUUCUAUUCCUGUGUUAGUCUGCUUAGGAUAAUGGCCUCCAGCUCCAGCCCAUGUUGCUGCAAAGGAUAUGAUCUGGGUUAAGGAUCUAGCGUGUUCUCAUGU
rnacentral:lncRNA from 1 species